UCUGCCGUUAGACCAUCAUUUGAAGGAAAUGGAUCCAUCUCUGAUCUAGAGAGGUCAACACAAGCUCCUGUGGAGCCUAUGCCAAUCGAAAGAGAUGCGCUACUUGCUACCAGGUAUGGUGUUCUAGAUGAGCACAGUGUUCUUCCCAGACGCUCCCGAAGAUGCAGAGAACAGCCUGAAAGACUACAGUACGACCAGUUCGGAAUCCCCUCACUGUCCAGAGUAUGAUAACAGGUACGAGCAUGUCACAGGCUCACAGCACACCCCAGUCUUCCAUUUUUUUGAUGUGGUGCUGGCCGCACUCAUUUUGCGCCUGCUUGGCUUGGAUUGUCUAUUUUUGUCAGCUCACGCUUUUAUUUCAUUUCCGGGUGGAUAUCCCAGGAGGGGGCUCUCUGAAGUCUCGAGCUGGGUAGGCCACUGAAGCUUCGGAGAUAUUCAGGUUUUCUUUUCCUGUUUUCAGAUUAGACAGUGUAGUUGGACAAUCCUUGCCUGUUCUAGCCACAUGUUUCCCCUUUUUGUGUGUGUGUGUGCACUGUGAAUGCCAUUCUGUGAUUAGGUUGCGCCCUCAACAACCCGCUGUUGUAUCAAUGCAACAGAUCUCACUCCGAAAAGGUUUUGGCUGUGCAGAUUCCUCAGGUAGCCCACUUAGGUGUAACGGGACGUACACACCUUUAGGGGGGGAGGGUGUAACCCAGGUCAUCUGCUCGUGGAGUCAUAACGUCGCCAUGGGAACCUAGUCCGCUCGUGGGGCUGUUUACAUUCUUCGAAAGACUUUCCGUUUGUCCUCGUCUACUGAUGUCCACUGAUUUAAGCUUACCUCCGAUAAAAUACACCAUUCAAUAGUGUAUUAUUGAAAGUCAUCUUCGCGAUAAAAGUGUUUACUUACUCCACUGGUGGAGUGAAGAGUCGUGAACGUCGCAGGUUUUUAAACCGUGAAGAUUAUUUCGUUGAAGACCGGAUUGGCGUCCGAGUGUCCGAGUCCAAACCCAGUGUGUUUCUUUCCACGUCGAUAUCUGGCCGGGUCUUUCGUUUGGAUCGAUUCUUGCUGUUCAAGUGAAUUCAGCUGCUGUGCGAUCGCCUUCAAGCACCGUGAAGGCGAACCCCAACAGCUGUGGCGAGCCUGGCCUUCAGAUAAGAACUGUUGAUAUAACUGAAUGAAUGAGACUCUUUUAUUUUGUUUUGUUUUGUUUUCUUCUUCUUCUUUUGUAAUACACUGUAUUCAACGUGUCAUGCUAUAGUUUCUAUUACCUAUUUAUAUAUUUCUAUCUACUCACCCGGGUGAUUUGGCCUAGUUGUCAUUUGGAUUAUAUCUGGUGAAUGUAGUUGCAGAUUUAACCGUCUGCAAUAUAUAUUUUAUUUUUAAUUAUUUAUUUUAUUUGAAUCUGCAGAUUCUCCUUUGUUUAUCUGAUUGUUGUUUGUUUAUGUCCAUCUUAUUGGAAAGAUAGCCUACUACACUAAGUUAUUCACUCACCAAUUUAUGAAAUAUUAAUACUCCCUUACUUAUCAUCUUGAUUAUUCUUAAUACAAUAUUUCUAACUUACAAACUCCGUCUGUGUGUGUUUUGCUUUUGCUCUGUGUUGGUACACUCCUUUCUUUAGUAGCGAGCCUAGGUUUUAUUGAUGCGCAACGCAAGCCCAGAG